rnacentral:lncRNA from 1 species
CGGUUCAUCUCUUGAAACCUUUGAUCUAGGAGAUCCUCUCGAUCGUGAAUCUCGAGGGUCUUCUGGCAAAAUGGAGGUAGGGACCCUCUGGGUGUAGAAUCAUGAUCAGAUAGAGGGCUCUCCAUCCUCUGCUUUCCCUUUUCGGAGAAUACAAGACGACUGGCCCAAGUGGGCCAUCCGAUCGUCGAAUUCUGAAACUCCGAUGAUGCUCUUUCUAGCCGCACAGAUGCCUGCGGCUGCU